UUAUAUCGAAUAUACUCGAAGGUUUAGAACCACGACAUAUUAUAACAUUUACGCCUGAAGACGUUCCCAAAUCUGCAGCGAUCAAUUUCGUCUUCAUUCCCCCUGUUCCAACUCCACUACCGGGUGUGGAAACGUUUGCAUUUACCAUUGAUGUAUCAUGAAUUUUUAAAAUAGGCUUAGCGUCAGGGUUGGUACGUGGGUUGUCUGUAUACAAACAAUCAACAUCUGUAAGUAAAAACAAAUAAUCUGCGUUUAUCAUGCCAGCUGUAAUUGCCGAUAAAGUAUCGUUAUCACCAAAACGGAUUUCUUGAACAGACAGAGUAUCAUUUUCAUUUACAAUGGGAACUACCCCAAAAUGUAGCAACUCGGAAAUUGUGUUCGCUGCAUUUACAUAUUGGGAUCUCUAAAUAUUAAUAGUUAGUACCCGUCAGUAAUUAAAAUAAUUUUUUAAGUGUCAACAAUAAUUAUCUGAAUCUUACCUCGGCAAUGUCGUUUCUAGUGAUUAAAACUUGCGCAAUAGGCUGACGAAGUUGUGUAAAUAAGGUAUCCCAUAAGGAAAUUAGUCUUCCUUGACCGACCGCGGCAAUUGCUUGUACAGCAGAAAGCUUUGAAGGACGCUUAGGUAAAUCUAAUCUACGAAGGCCCAUUGCAAUACCACCACUUGAAACCAAAACGACAUUAUGACCCAACUUUCGAAGCUUGACAACGGUUUCAACGAUUAGUGACAAA